rnacentral:misc_RNA from 1 species
CCUUUUGGACUCUCUAUGUUUGGUGUGGACUGGGGGGUAACUCCAGCACGUUAACCAUAGACAGUUUAUGAGGUGUGAGAAGGUGAGAAGUAUGAGGAGGUGAGUGCCAUGGUGAAGAAGUCCAUCUGGUCAUACGUUGGGUACAGUAGAAGUUGUCGGCUUCGGAGACUUGGGUUUGCAGAUUUGAACUUUCCCACGGGUAGUAGAUGCAGUUGCCCAGAUUUGGACAAGUUCAGAGAUGGACUGGGGGAGACAAGGCCUCUGUACCAGGCGCGGUGAAGGUCCUUCACAAGUCCUUUGGCUACGGGCAGGGCUCUGGGUGGCUCUAAGUCCAUGGGCUGGGUGUGACCAGAAGUUGUGAAGUCUUGAGAAGUUCAGCUGGCUGGUAGACUUUGGCUGGUACUGGUGACCAUACUGAGUGCUGCAGAGUACCAGGUUUGGGUGCCAUCUGGUCCAUGUCUUGUCAGUUGACUUGUGUGUUCUCUGAGAGCAGACUGGCUUAUAGGGGCUGUUCAUCCCUACUAUC